rnacentral:rRNA from 1 species
AUUGAACGCUGGCGGAAUGCUUUACACAUGCAAGUCGAACGGCAGCACGGGAGCUUGCUCCUGGUGGCGAGUGGCGGACGGGUGAGUAAUACAUCGGAACGUGUCCAGAAGAGGGGGAUAACGCAUCGAAAGAUGUGCUAAUACCGCAUAUGCUCUGAGGAGGAAAGUAGGGGAUCGAAAGACCUUACGCUUUUGGAGCGGCCGAUGUCUGAUUAGCUAGUUGUGGGUAAGGGCCUACCAAGGCGACGAUCAGUAGUUGGUCUGAGAGGACGACCAGCCACACUGGGACUGAGACACGGCCCAGACUCCUACGGGAGGCAGCAGUGGGGAAUUUUGGACAAUGGGCGCAAGCCUGAUCCAGCAAUGCCGCGUGAGUGAAGAAGGCC